GUUUAUUGGUGUAGUGGCUGAUGUUGUUUUAAUAUUGGCAGAAUACCUGGAGGAUGGACUGUGACACCCCCAAAUCCGGGUACUUCAAUUCCACAGGAUUUGGUGUUCACUGUACAAAUAUCAUCUAUCUAUCUACCCAUAAUAAAUGCAAACCAUGCAAUAGAUAGAAUAAAAAACUUCCCCUUAAGGGUUACAACAUCCGAAUAAUAAUACAAUCCCAGGUUAAACUAACCUUAAACAUCUGUGCGGAAAUAUAAACAAUAAGUCUUAAGUAACAUCAAUUCUAAUUACAUCACAUAAAUAAUCAGUCUUCAU
rnacentral:lncRNA from 1 species